GACGAACGCUGGCGGCGUGCCUAAUACAUGCAAGUUGAGCGCUGAAGGUUGGUACUUGUACCAACUGGAUGAGCAGCGAACGGGUGAGUAACGCGUGGGGAAUCUGCCUUUGAGCGGGGGACAACAUUUGGAAACGAAUGCUAAUACCGAAUAAAAACUUUAAACACAAGUUUUAAGUUUGAAAGAUGCAAUUGCAUCACUCAAAGAUGAUCCCGCGUUGUAUUAGCUAGUUGGUGAGGUAAAGGCUCACCAAGGCGAUGAUACAUAGCCGACCUGAGAGGGUGAUCGGCCACAUUGGGACUGAGACACGGCCCAAACUCCUACGGGAGGCAGCAGUAGGGAAUCUUCGGCAAUGGACGAAAGUCUGACCGAGCAACGCCGCGGGAGUGAAGAAGGUUUUCGGAUCGUAAAACUCUGUUGGUAGAGAAGAACGUUGGUGAGAGUGGAAAGCUCAUCAAGUGACGGUAACUACCCAGAAAGGGACGGCUAACUACGUG
rnacentral:rRNA from 1 species